GAUAAACGCUGGCGGCGUGCUUAACACAUGCCAGUCGAACGAAGUUUUUCCUUCGGGAGCAACUUAGUGGCGGACGGGUGAGUAACGCGUGGGUAACCUGCCCUGUACAGGGGGACAACAGCUGGAAACGGCUGCUAAUACCGCAUAAGCACUUAGCACUGCAUGGUGCAUAGGGAAAAGGAGCAAUCCGGUACAGGAUGGACCCGCGUCUGAUUAGCCAGUUGGCAGGGUAACGGCCUACCAAAGCGACGAUCAGUAGCCGAUCUGAGAGGAUGUACGGCCACAUUGGGACUGAGACACGGCCCAGACUCCUACGGGAGGCAGCAGUGGGGAAUAUUGCACAAUGGAGGAAACUCUGAUGCAGCGACGCCGCGUGAGUGAAGAAGUAUUUCGGUAUGUAAAGCUCUAUCAGCAGGGAAGAAAAUGACGGUACCUGACUAAGAAGCACCGGCUAAAUACGUG
rnacentral:rRNA from 1 species